rnacentral:misc_RNA from 1 species
CCUAACCGUUCGCGGAGGGGGACGCCGAAGGUGGGGCUGAUGACUGGGGUGAAGUCGUAACAAGGUAGCCGUACCGGAAGGUGUGGCUGGAUCACCUCCUUAAGGGAGACCUUACCCACUUUCAGCCGAAAGCAAAAAGCAAUUAAGCGAAAGUCUGGUCAACCGAGGUCGUUCGAGGAAUUGAUGAGGCUUCCAGACUAGCGUCUAGUUCUUCUACAGAUUGGAUCAACCAUUCCUGGUCUGUAGAGAAAAGACUGUUGAUAAGGCAGUGGGCUAUUAGCUCAGGUGGUUAGAGCGCACCCCUGAUAAGGGUGAGGUCCCUGGUUCGAGUCCAGGAUGGCCCACCUUCACAUUUUUUGCGUUACCACCUAUCGGCAAACCUUUCCCAAACGAGCAUCUCACGCACCCCCGGGAAACACAUACUUUUUUUUGCACAAGACCGCUGAACCUAACUCACCGUGAACCGUGUUAUCUGUACGGCAAAAGGCAAGAAAUCCCCCCCAUUCUGGAGUUGUCCAGGUUUCCCUCCCGGGACCGGGUUGCUGAGGAAGCGCUGCCACAGUUAAAAGGUAUGGGAGUUUGAAUUCCCAGACGUCGAGCGGGAUAAGGG